rnacentral:rRNA from 1 species
AGAAUCAACGCUGGCGGCGUGCCUAACACAUGCAAGUCGAACGAGAAAGUGGAGCAAUCCAUGAGUAAAGUGGCGCACGGGUGAGUAACACGUGACUAACCUACCCUUGAGUGGGGGAUAACCUAGAGAAAUCUGGGCUAAUACCGCAUAAUACCUUCGGGUCAAAGGAGCAAUUCGCUUAAGGAGGGGGUCGCGGCCGAUUAGUUAGUUGGCGGGGUAAUGGCCCACCAAGACGAUGAUCGGUA